UUUCGAUUGGUCGUCUCCCUGGUCACAUGACGUGCGGUGGCGGCCUCCAGCGCCGUGGACAGGGGAGCUAAAGAUGGAUCCUCUCGGAAAUAACCCGGAAAAAUGAAACGCACAGGAGGGGGUAGAGUGGAGGUGGCGGCCAGGCGGCCUGCAGAGCGUUCUCCAUGAGGAGCAGUGGAAGAUGCCGGCUCUGCCAGCACUGCUGCUGUCGAUCACUGUCCUGGCCCUGCUGCUGACCCCGGCCGCCUGCUCACCAAGCCCCGCCCACACACUGGUCGCCGUGCGCAUGGGUG
ensembl:lncRNA